GGUCUAAAACAUUGAGAUUCAUCAAAAUCUACACAUUGAAUUUUUGGACGAUUACAAUACUUUCCCUAUAUUUUGUAUACGAGAAAGUCAGGGAGGUCUAAAACAUCGAGAUUCAUCAAAAUCUCGACAUCGAAUCUUUGGACGAUUCCAAUACUUUCCCUAUACUUCGUAAACGAGAAAGUCAGGGAGGUCUAAAACAUCGAGAUUCAUCAAAAUCUCGACAUCGAAUCUUUG